GGAGGAAAAGAAACUAACAAGGAUUCCCCUAGUAACGGCGAGUGAAGCGGGAAGAGCUCAAGCUUAAAAUCUCCGUGCAAGUUUUGCGCGGCGAAUUGUAGUCUAUAGAGGCGUGGUCAGCGUGGGCGCUUGGGGCAAGUUCCUUGGAAGAGGACAGCAUGGAGGGUGAUACUCCCGUUCAUCCCUGAGUGGCUCGUGCGUACGACCCGUGUUCUUUGAGUCGCGUUGUUUGGGAAUGCAGCGCAAAGUAGGUGGUAAAUUCCAUCUAAAGCUAAAUAUUGGUGCGAGACCGAUAGCGAACAAGUACCGUGAGGGAAAGAUGAAAAGAACUUUGAAAAGAGAGUUAAAGAGUACCUGAAACUGCUGAAAGGGAACCGAAUCGUUUCCAGUGUCUAUAAUCCGUGGCAUAUUUCAUUGGCGAGUGUGCGCGUGCGUGUGCUGUGGCAGUGGCUUUUUUGGCUGCGCUCGGUGUGUGUGCUGUGUGUGCUUGCUGGUGCCCUGUGCUGCGGUGGGACGUCAAGGUCAGUUCGUAUGCUGCGGGAAAUGGCUGCCGAGGAGGUAGGGCUUACGCUCCGCGUUUGUCUGUUAUAUCUUGGUGGACGAGUCGUCGCGGUUGGGACUGAGGUGCCUACAACGUGCUUUUGAGUGGGUUUGUGUCUCCGUGUGCGCCGUGUGCGGAUAGCUUGCUAUGCGUGUGUGGUUGUGUGUGGAUUGAUGCGGGCUUUAACUUGUCGCCGUUCGGGACGUUGACGAAAUGGAGCGAUCCGAC
rnacentral:rRNA from 1 species